ACCUGCUGAGUUGUUCCAGCAUUUUCUGUUUUUCGUAACGGAUAAAACAGGGUGCAGACUCGUAAUGAGAAGUGUCAACACGCUUAAAUGUGUUAAGUCCCUGGUCAAAAAAAAAAACAGGAAGAGGAACGUCACGUGAUUGGAUUAAGAGUUAUUACAGGAGAAUGUGUUAAUGACAGGAGAGAGCACUGGCUCUUGUUGGAGUGCUGGUCUCCCAGUGAUAGCCAUUCUCAAGUGCAAGUGCCCCAACCAGACACACUACACUAGAAAACGACUAGCGUCAGGCAACCAGACCCCAGGCAUCUCACAACUGAGCCUCAUCCCACCAUCGCAUGCUACCCGUGUUCCAGCAAGAGUCACAGAAUAGGUGGUCAGAAGCACCUUUAAUUCCCUUCCCUAGAUCAGGGAUCGAGAAUACUGCAGCCAUUGUAGGACAGAUGAAGCAGGCUUAAGGAUCAAGUGUGAUUCCAAUCGCUCUUUUAAUCGCAGCUGUACUUUCUAUUGGGCCUGGGCCCUAAUCUCUGGAACUUCCUUCCUAAACCUCCCCACACCUCUUGCUCUUUACCUCUCUCUCCUCCUUUAAAACACUCCUUAAAACCUUCCUCAGCUGUCCUAAUAGCACCUUUUGUGGCUCAGUGUCAAUGUUUCUCUAAUUCUGCUCCUGUGAAGCACUUAGGGGAAUUGGACUACAUUAAAGGUUUUGUGCAAA